AGGGGGUGAGCAAUCGGUUUCCUACACCACGGUGCACGGAGGCAGACUUAUAAAUAAAGCCAUACCAAGUGCAUUUGUUCGUUACGGUAUAUUCUUUAAUACAUUGUGUCGAAAGGUUGGAGAGUUUGUGGACUACAAACGCCAGCACCCUUUGUCCGGGGACUUGGCGCCGCUCCUGUUGCCCGCCAACAGAGCCGAUUGGCCCAGUGGCCAACGGUUAUCUGUCAGUCACGUGCGGCCCCGCCUCCGGGCGGCGGUUCCGCGCGUUUUUUAAAUUUUGGCGCCGCCCGAGGAACCAAAGAUCUUUGCGAGGAACUGCGAUCUGGUAUUUUUUUCUGAGAACAGUCUGAGGGAGGGAAGCCGUCAACGUCAACAAGAGAGACCAGUUGGCAAAAGACAUUAUCAGAUUAGGAAACGAAACCAAGUAUGGAGAGAAAAAAAAAACAAUCAUACCCCUGGAGAAAAUGUUAUUGACUGCAAACAUGUGCCGCCACCUCGUUGUCACACAGAGUUUUCACUUUUAAAUUCGUACAUUUCGAACAUCUCCUUUCCUACGCAGAGACAAAAUUCAUUUUAACGCCAGGUAGACAAAAAUGCUGGAGAAACUCAGCGGGUGAGGCAGCAUCUAUGGAACGAAGGAAUAGGUGACGUUUCGGGUCGAGACCUUUCUUCAGACUGAAAAGACAUUUACUUUUGAAAAUCCUGCAGAAAAAGUAAUUUUGUUAUUGUGAGUUAAAAACUCUAAACCCUUAACCCCUUCCCCCCAUUGACACAAUUGUUUUUAUAAUGCGAUUUUCUAUGAGGAAGUUCAUAUGAAAGCAACUUGCGUUUUAGCAGAACUAUUUGUCCCCUAGUUAUUGACUUAUUUAGUUAUUGUUUUCUUUAAAAGGUCCUUUCCCUUUUACUGUUUAUACCUAGUUUAUAUCUAUAAACAGUUAACUGCAAUUAACUUCCCACUCCCCUCCUUCCCACUUAGUCUUUGUACCAAAUCUCUACCCUUCUCGGUAUUUAGAUUCAAAUGUGAAGGAGCCACUGGAUCCCGGAACUCCCGUGCGGCAGCAAGGUUUAACUCUUUUCACUGAGGUGGAGUGAAAAUAAUGAGAGGAAAAGAUAGAAAAAAAAUGUAGGAUUAUAUAAACAUUCAUGUCAAACGGUAUUUCAAGUGUGAUGCAUUUAAUUUGCAGCAACAACUCACUUUGAUUUUAAAUCAUUAAAUCUUUGAAAAUGGUGACCUUGGUGAAUUCCAAAGUCUGUUUGUCAGUUUCUCCUAAAAAGGGAAUGUUUAUUGAAGAGAUUCUUUCGUCUGCAUAAAGUGUGCUUGUCAUCCGCUUGUGGGCAGAUUACACAUUUUCUGUGUCAGUUGGACACGACCUGGCAAAAAGUUGCAAAUUAUAUUUGUCAAAAGAUAUCAUAUCAUAUGGAAAUUGUGUAAAUCUACGAAAUAAUUUGUUUACAGUUUCUAAUUUUUGGGUCGGGUGAACCUUCCUGUUACAUGUUACCUGUUCCUGUUACAAAAAUGUUAACAUCACUUGCAUUUGACAUGGUUAUAAUAAAGUAUUAUAUUUUUCCUUGCUUGACUUCCUUUGCUGAAAUUGUUCAUCUUUAGUUUGACAAAAUUAAAUGGUUUCUUAAUAAUAAAGAAAGAUUCAAUA